AACGAACGCUGGCGGCAUGCCUAACACAUGCAAGUCGAACGAGACCUUCGGGUCUUGUGUCGCACGGGUGCGUAACGCGUGGGAACCUGCCCUUAGGGUCGGAAUAACUCUCCGAAAGGGGUGCUAAUACCGGAUAAUGUCUUCGGACCAAAGAUUUAUCGCCCUUGGAUGGUCCCGCGUUGGAUUAGCUAGUUGGUAGGGUAAUAGCCUACCAAGGCGACGAUCCAUAGCUGGUCUGAGAGGAUGAUCAGCGACACUGGGACUGAGACACGGCCCGGACUCCUACGGGAGGGAGCAGUGGGGAAUAUUGGACAAUGGGCGAAAGCAUGAUCCAGUAAUGCCGCGUGAGUGAUGAAGGCCUUAGGGUUGUAAAGCUCUUUUACCCGGGAUGAUAAUGACAGUACCGGGAGAAUAAGCUCCGGCUAACUCCGUG
rnacentral:rRNA from 1 species